GUGCUCACUUCAGCAGCACAUAUACUAAAAAUUGGAACAAUACAGAGAAGAUUAGCCUGGCUCCUGUGCAAGAANAGCAUGCAAAUUUGUGAAGUGUUCCAUGUAUUU
rnacentral:snRNA from 1 species